GACGAACGCUGGCGGCGUGCUUAGCACAUGCAAGUCGAACGGAAAGGCCCUGCUUUUGUGGGGUGCUCGAGUGGCGAACGGGUGAGUAACACGUGAGUAACCUGCCCUUGACUUUGGGAUAACUUCAGGAAACUGGGGCUAAUACCGGAUAGGAGCUCCUGCUGCAUGGUGGGGGUUGGAAAGUUUCGGCGGUUGGGGAUGGACUCGCGGCUUAUCAGCUUGUUGGUGGGGUAGUGGCUUACCAAGGCUUUGACGGGUAGCCGGCCUGAGAGGGUGACCGGCCACACUGGGACUGAGAUACGGCCCAGACUCCUACGGGAGGCAGCAGUGGGGAAUAUUGCACAAUGGGCGGAAGCCUGAUGCAGCAACGCCGCGUGCGGGAUGACGGCCUUCGGGUUGUAAACCGCUUUCGCCUGUGACGAAGCGUGAGUGACGGUAAUGGGUAAAGAAGCACCGGCUAACUACGUG
rnacentral:rRNA from 1 species